GUGAGGAAUCUUCCACAAUGGGGGCAACCCUGAUGGAGCAACGCCGCGUGCAGGAUGAAGGCCUUCGGGUUGUAAACUGCUUUUAUAAGUGAAGAAUAUGACGGUAACUUAUGAAUAAGGAUCGGCUAACUACGUGCCAGCAGCCGCGGUCAUACGUAGGAUCCGAGCGUUAUCCGGAGUGACUGGGCGUAAAGAGUUGCGUAGGCGGUUAGUAAAGCGAAUAGUGAAAUCUGGUGGCUCAACCAUUCAGGCUAUUAUUCGAACUCACUAACUCGAGAGUGGUAGAGGUAACUGGAAUUUCUUGUGUAGGAGUGAAAUCCGUAGAUAUAAGAAGGAACACCAAUGGCGUAGGCAGGUUACUGGACCAUUUCUGACGCUAAGGCACGAAAGCGUGGGGAGCGAACCGGAUUAGAAACCCUGGUAGUCC
rnacentral:rRNA from 1 species